GUGUCCUUGGUCCAACGCUAUUC
rnacentral:miRNA from 12 species